AGAGUUUGAUUCUGGCUCAGAACGAACGCUGGCAGCGUGGAUUAGGCAUGCAAGUCGAACGGAACCUGCGGGUUCAAGUUUUCGGACAAGAACCUGUGGGGGAGAGUGGCGAAAGGGUGAGUAACGCGUGGGUAAUCUGCCUCUAAGUUGGGGAUAAUCCAGCGAAAGCUGGACUAAUACCGAAUGUGGUCCCCCGAUGCAUAUCGGGGAGAUUAAAGGUGGGGAUCUUUCGGGACCUGCCGCUUGGAGAGGAACCCGCGUCCCAUCAGCUUGUUGGUGAGGUAAUGGCUCACCAAGGCUUACGGGUAGCUGGUCUGAGAGGAUGGUCAGCCACACUGGGACUGAGACACUGCCCAGACUCCUACGGGAGGCUGCAGUCGAGGAUCAUUGUCAAUGCGCGAAAGCGUGAACAUGCGACGCUGCGUGGAGGAUGACAGCCUUCGGGUUGUAAACUCCUGUCAUUCGGGACAAAUCGUCCGUUCCUGAAUAUGGUUCGGGCUUGAUGGUACCGGAAGAGGAAGCCGCGGCUAACUCUGUGCCAGCAGCCGCGGUAAUACAGAGGUGGCGAGCGUUGUUCGGAUUUACUGGGCGUAAAGCGUGCGUAGGUGGUUUCGUAUGUCGAAUGUGAAAGCCCACUGCCCAACAGUGGAAAUGCAUUCGAAACUGCGGGACUAGAGUCCAGGAGGGGAGAGCGGAAUUCUUGGUGUAGCGGUGAAAUGCGUUGAUAUCAAGAAGAACACCGGUGGCGAAGGCGGCUCUCUGGAAUGGUACUGACACUGAGGCACGAAAGCUGGGGGAGCGAACAGGAUUAGAUACCCUGGUAGUCCCAGCCGUAAACGGUGCACACUUGGUGUGGGCGGUAUUGACCCCGUCCGUGCCGGAGCUAACGCGUUAAGUGUGCCGCCUGGGGAGUACGGCCGCAAGGCUAAAACUCAAAGAAAUUGACGGGGGCCCGCACAAGCGGAGGAGCAUGUGGCUUAAUUCUAUGCAACGCGAAGAACCUUACCAGGGCUUGACAUGCAGCUGCACGGCCGGUGAAAGCCGGUUUCCUUCGAGGGCGCUGCACAGGUGCUGCAUGGCUGUCGUCAGUUCGUGCCGUGAGGUGUUGGGUUAAGUCCCGCAACGAACGCAACCCCUGUGUUUAGUUGCCACCCCGGUGAUGAGCCGGUGAGCACUCUAAACAGACUGCCCGUACAAGCGGGAGGAAGGUGGGGACGACGUCAAGUCAGUAUGGCCCUUACGCCCUGGGCUGCACACGUGCUACAAUGGUCGGUACAGAGGGAUGCAAUACCGCGAGGUGGCGCAAAUCCCCAAAACUGGCCCCAGUUCGGAUUGGAGUCUGCAACUCGACUCCAUGAAGUUGGAUUCGCUAGUAACGGCGCAUCAGCUACGGCGCCGUGAAUACGUUCCCGGGCCUUGUACACACCGCCCGUCACAUCAUGAAAGCCGUCUGCACCCGAAGUCACCGGGCUAACUUUUUUUAGAGGCAGGUGCCGAAGGUGUGGGUGGUGAUUGGGAUGAAGUCGUAACAAGGUA
rnacentral:rRNA from 1 species